rnacentral:rRNA from 1 species
GAUGAACGCUAGCGGCAGGCCUAACACAUGCAAGUCGAGGGGCAGCACAGGUAGCAAUACUGGGUGGCGACCGGCGGAUGGGUGCGUAACGCGUAUGCAACCUACCAUUGAUUGGGGCAUAGCCCGAAGAAAUUCGGAUUAAUACUCCAUAAUAUUCAUCAAAGGCAUCUUUUAUGAAUUAAAGCUUUUUGCGAUCAAUGAUGGGCAUGCGUGACAUUAGUUAGUUGGUGAGGUAACGGCUCACCAAAACGAUGAUGUCUAGGGGUUCUGAGAGGAUUAUCCCCCACACUGGUACUGAGACACAGACCAGACUCCUACGGGAGGCAGCAGUGAGGAAUAUUGGUCAAUGGACGCAAGUCUGAACCAGCCAUGCCGCGUGCAGGAUGACGGCCCUAUGGGUUGUAAACUGCUUUUCCACGGGAAGAACCCUCCGACGUGUCGGAGACUGACGGUACCGUGGGAAUAAGCAUCGGCUAACU